GACCACAGCUUGGAUUUUUGUGGAGAGGGGAGGUGAGGCCGACUGCACUCUGGAGAAGCUGGGAGGAUAAAAGCGAUGACGAGAUCUAGUCACUUCUGUUUCUUCUCCUCUCUGGCUGCUCUUCACCACUUCAAAAGAGGUUUCGUGAAGAAAUUGUAACUUCUGAGAAGAAAAUGAAGUUUGUGGAUUAUGUGUGGCAGGUUCCAUUUCUACCAAAUGAGACUUUGCUGUUUCAGUAAAGGCUUCUUCACUAGAAUGGCUUGUCAUUUCAUUGAACGCUGAUCAGCAUUCAACCAAAGACACAAACCUGGAACCGACCCCGCUGAAAUGAUCCACUCAUGGCUUUACAUCUACUCAAAGCCCUGGUAUCAGCUGUGGACUCUCCUGUCAGUCGAAUGGGAUCAGGAGCAACUGCUGAUCUCCUAUCUUCUGUUUCCACUGCAAGUUUUGCCAAAUUAGAUGCAAUCACCAAGCACCCUGAACCAGACCAAACCUCACCACGAGAGCGAUGGCUGUGUAAAUGGUCAGAAAAGUGCCCAAGAGAUGACCUUUGCCUCAUUUUUAAUGCUAAGAUCUCCGCCCUGGGAGGAGUUUAGGACUUAUUACCAUAACAUGUGAUGUAUACGGAAGCAUGUUUUCCAACUGAGCCUGUGCAAGUGAAUACCCCCCUCUCCCUUUUGAAUAUUCAUUCCCCAUCCAAAAUAAAAGGCCCCUGCUGUCCUGUGCUAGGGGAGAGCCACAACUUUGGAAGUGAUUCUGCAUGGUCUCCUAUUUGCUGCCAAUAAACUUUACUUUGUGUGACAACUA